UUUCAAUUAUGUCCUGGUAUAGUCUUAUUAAUCCUAAUUUCAACUAUUAUCUUAAAAUAUAUUUCACAAGAAUAACCAAAUUUUACAUGUCAGUUGCAUCAUUUUGGGGUUGUAUAUAAAACUCUCACCAGAUCCUUUUAAAGUAUUUUUUAAGUCUUUUGACAUUUACAGACAGUUGUUUUACUCUGAUGGUUUUGCAGAAGUGUUCCUGCAAAAAUGCUUCAUUUUGAAAUAAAUUCAUGUAAAAGACCUUGACAAGUACUCCAAAAUCCAGGCUUCUGACAACUUCGUAACACUGAACUAGUUUGCUCCAGUAUUUGGAUAGAACUCUCAACACCUCCAGUUUCUUCCUACUCUUUUGACUAAGAAUCAGUGUGAAACUAAAACUGCCCUUUUCCCAAAGUCAUGCAAGCUAAAGCUGGACAACUAGAUACAAACUUCAGAGAAAUCACAACAGCUCAUAUGUGGACAUUUGACACUGCAAACAAGGAAAAUCUGUCAGAUUGCCACUGUUGGCCCUCACUCCCAGAUGCUCUGAACCUAACACUAGGAAUCUUCUCAAAUGACUGUUCUCCAAACUCAAAAACUAAGUUUGUAAUUUGCUGAAACUAUUAAUGUUUGUUUUUCUUUAGCUUCCAGAGAACUGCAUCUCAUUAAAUUACCUGUUUGCUCACAUUAUUCAGAGGCCUAAUUUGAGUAAAUGCUCACCUAAAACAUGACAGGAUUAAGUAAGUAAUCAUGAGGAUGUGAAUGCUAACACGUCAUGUUGUACCUAUGAAAUAAAUGGGGUUCAUUUUA